AAAAACUUUUCCCUUUUUUU
rnacentral:miRNA from 1 species